ACAGAGGAGGAUUAGCAAUAGAUGUUAGCUCAGGGCUAAUCUUCCUCACCAAUAAAUAAAUAAUCAAAUAAAUAGUGAAACAUUGGACACAAUAUCCAACAAUAGGACAUUGGUGAGCAUCAACAUUGUAGAUGUAGCUAUUAUAACAGAAAGACUUGCAUUAUUAAGUUUUUGUAAAAACAUAUUUCAAAAUGAAUUCAUAGUCCAGUUUAUGUAAAAAUGUAUGUGUGCAUUUGUGUUUCUAUAGGAACAUAUGCUAAAUUUUAAAUGCCUUUAAAAUGUAGAUGCAAAUAAAAAUGCUUUAAAAUUUAAAACAAAAUGUAGAGUCUCUUGGUAAAUCCUGAGUGGUAUAAACCACUUGUCUCAUAAAUUACUAUUAUUUGUAGCCUAAAAUAUGUUCCCAUCACCACCCAUACUCUCCCUCUCCAACAUAAUCCUUUCUUAAAUAAAAGUUAUAGCUCAUCGUAAAUUAUUGAGUAAAGAUUUUUAUUCACAGUAUAAAGAAUCUAGUGUUGUCUUAACCAAAGAGAAGCCAAUAAAUAGUUGUCAUGCCUUAGUUUUGUUUUAUGCUACAGUAGUUGAAACACCCCAGACAGUGCUUCAUAAAAAAUACUAUUCUUAAGUAUGCAGGGUGAAAAAAAUGAGAUUUGGGGUAAAAUUUUUUUUCUUCACUUUGAUGUCAUUAAUUUAUAUCUUGCCUCAUUCCAAAUGUAUUUAACGUAUGUAGAUCUCUCAAUAGAAUGUGUGCUGAGCAUAAAAAUGUGUUCAUACACAAGAACAAACCAGCUAUACUGUUAUACUGCCUCCAAGGUCGUGAUGAUUUAUAGAGGACAGAAUGUAUUUCCAAAAACAUGCAGAAUCUCUGAACUAGAGACUUGACUUUUAACACAAGAAUGAAAUGAUUCAGAAUCAUCUUUCUUCCCAGGUCAAUAGGAAACCAGUGUGGCCAUGUAGUUCCGGUCAGUCAGGGAGUAGAGCUUGCGAGAAAGAGCUGACCUUAACCAGCGGGAUCCUUAAGUAGAUAAAGCUUCAUGUAACCACACACAGCCUGAGAGAGCCAAAGAAGAGAGGAAGGGGAAAGGGGAGAGGGGAGAGGGAAAGGCCAUAGAUCCCCUGCCCUUUGCCAGGCACUAAGCCUAAAGGCUUAUUGUGCGCUGGCUCGUUUAGCAAGCUGCAGGCCCAUCUAUAAUGUUCAGAUGGUAGCUGGAGCUAAAUAUUUCUGAAUAAAUCAAUCCUCUUCCUGAUGUUGCUCUCACCAGCUGCAUCCCGUGGGCAGCCAUCGGCUAGAUCAGCCGGUUAUGCAGUUACUUGCUAAUGAUCCCAGAUUUCCCCUCCUCCCACCUCUACUCAGAACUGCAGGAGCCACUGCUUCAGCUGUGUGCCUGAGCCGGGGCGAGGAGGGCUCGGGAUUAUUUGAAGAGGUCCACCAGAUGCCUCAGAUUUCAUAGACAGGGGUGUCAACAGGACUGCAUUUUCAUCUUGCUAAUUUGUAUCCGCCUUUUUCCAGAAAGAAUUUGAGGUGCUGAAAUCUUCCAGCAGUAUGUGUCCUGUGAGACGUUUCCUAGGACGAAGAACUUAGGAACCCCACAGAGAAGCAUAAUAUUUUAAAGAAAAGCAAGACAAGACAGUGAGGAAGGUUUGUGAGCGCCAUCUGCUUCAGAGACUGCUGCCAGUUCUGCAUCCUGUUCUCCGUAAUGACCCACAUCACUCUGACUGUAGCCCUUUGGAAAGGAAGCCUCAGUUUGUCAGGAAUAAUAAGACUCAGGCCUCCUUGUUCCAGAAUCAGGAGAACCAUGUCAAGAUCCUGGCCUGCCGUGAAGAAAACUGGACCAGUACACAGCUUUGGGAAGGAACAAUAGAGUCACUGUUCAGUGCUUCAUCAGCAACAAGGAGUUAAGAGAGACUUUAAAAACUACUCACCAGAAAAAAUCAUGACUAACAGAAAUGCCCAUUACUGUGGAAUCCAAGGAAUAGACUUAAAAUGAACGUUAGUUUUAAAAAAUGUAGAUGUAGAGUUAGAGAAUUAGAGGAAGUUUUUCCAUCUUUUUCUGCUGCAGGAAAUAAACCUAUGCGUGAUAA